GUCAUUGAGACCUAUCAGAACGAUAGAUUGCCUGAAUAUAUAUCAAUGAAGACCAGUACUUACGUCACGCCAGAGCAAAUAGGGUUGGUCUGGUGAGCCUCUUCGUUCCUGGUGGUUGAGAACACUGGGCGGGGAGUUGACCAUUAUACAUAUAUCGAUACAGUCAUUGGUGGUACACAAAAGCCUAGUGCGUCUUGAAGGCCAACAAAGGAGUCCUCAGAGUCGCUUUGGUAACGCCAUCUAAAGUUGGUGUCAACGAAUGGUGGGACGACUUAUGGGUUUAAAGCGUCAGGUGAGAUCGAUGAUCAACUGAUGACGUCGUUGGUGAUGAACCGUGACUGUCAGACCGUGCAUAUGAUUGAUUCAGAAGCACCGUAUGGCAGUGACAUCACCAAUUGGUAUAGAUCCAGGUGGAAGCCAGUACCAGCUCUG